GUGAAGCUUUUUUAUGUCCACUAAUUCUACAUGUUUUUUCACAGUUUGUGCUUGUAAAUCAUCUCCAGUGAACUAGAAUUCAUGGUGUUUUGGUGGCAUCCGAUUUGUAAAUUGCAAGCUAUCAAGUCCAAGGAUCAGGAUCAUGAGAGCACAGGGACCCAAAGCAUAGCAGGAGAGGGAAAGGAAAAGAAAGAGAAGACGUGACACGGAAAAGGAGAGUUCCACGUACUCUCGCCUGGGGCAGCUUAUGCGAGAGAGGAAAAAGCAAGAUCGGGUUGGAUUAAACUAUCCACGUUCAUGUACGUGCUACGUACGACAGAUUAAUACAAGUGGAAUUCUUUUUAGAACGUGCAAAGUGCUGUGGUAUACCACUACUAUAUGUUAGGGUUCUGUAUUCGUAAAAAGAAUAAUUUUCUCACUGGACAGCAAAUCACCGUUUUCCUCGUGUAGUUUCAGCGGUAGGGUUUUAUUUUAGUGCUUAAAAUGCGUGUAAUUUUUAUACGUAUAUUUUCUUUUUUCUUUUUGCAAUGAUGUGCAUAUUAAUAAAUGACUUGUAAUGACCAUAAGAAAGUAGUAAAUGUUCUACAAGACGUGAGCUCCACUGCAAUUUCAUUUCGCCAAAAAUAGAUAAUACAUAACCCAUGCUUCCAUUUCAGUCGUUCUAACAACACGAGGGACUCUAAUCGCAUGGACAAAACCGUCGCCGUAACAUGUAAAAUCUAUCCUCACAAACAGCCGGAAACAUGAGCCGGCAACUUUGGCAGAUCCAAGUCUCAA